rnacentral:lncRNA from 1 species
GUCCGGUGUGAGGGUGAAACGGGCCGUCCCCAUACCCCGUCCGGUAUGGGCGCCAAAACACAUAAGGUCUCCAUACCCCGUCUGGUAUAAGAGACUACAAUCCCGGUAGGGUUCCCUACGGACCCGGUCCGUCCACCAUUUCCCAGGAUAUCUAGUCAGGCUGACCACAUUAUACAAUUAUCAAUUUACAUAAUCUUUCAUUCUCAUUUUCCUCAGUCAGCAUCAUCAAUUUACAUACAAACAAGCAAACAGUAAUUUAUGCCAAACAAGACAACAUACAUCAUCGGUUUCUCAGUCAUUCAACCCAUAAUCAAUAAAACAGUAAAAUAUGCACGCGAAAUUAUGAAAUGAAAACAUCAGAC